AGUUUGAUCCUGGCUCAGGACGAACGCUGGCGGCGUGCCUAACACAUGCAAGUCGAGCGAAUGAAAUUCCUUCGGGAACGGAUUUAGCGGCGGACGGGUGAGUAACACGUGGGCAACCUGCCUCAUAGAGGGGAAUAGCCUUCCGAAAGGGAGAUUAAUACCGCAUAAGAUUGUAGUACCGCAUGGUACAGCAAUUAAAGGAGCAAUCCGCUAUGAGAUGGGCCCGCGGCGCAUUAGCUAGUUGGUGAGGUAACGGCUCACCAAGGCGACGAUGCGUAGCCGACCUGAGAGGGUGAUCGGCCACAUUGGGACUGAGACACGGCCCACACUCCUACGGGAGGCAGCAGUGGGGAAUAUUGCACAAUGGGGGAAACCCUGAUGCAGCAACGCCGCGUGAGUGAUGACGGCCUUCGGGUUGUAAAGCUCUGUCUUCAGGGACGAUAAUGACGGUACCUGAGGAGGAAGCCACGGCUAACUACGUGCCAGCAGCCGCGGUAAUACGUAGGUGGCAAGCGUUAUCCGGAAUUAUUGGGCGUAAAGGGUGCGUAGGCGGUUUCAUAAGCGUGGGGUGAAGGCCAUUGGCUUAACCAAUGUAAGCCCCGCGAACUGUGUAACUUGAGUACAGGAGAGGAAAGCGGAAUUCCUAGUGUAGCGGUGAAAUGCUUAUAUAUUAGGAGGAACACCAGUGGCGAAGGUGGCUUUCUGGACUGUCACUGACGCUGAUGCACGAAAGCGUGGGGAGCAAACAGGAUUAGAUACCCUGGUAGUCCACGCUGUAAACGAUGAGCACUAGGUGUCGGGGUCGCAAGACUUCGGUGCCGCAGUUAACGCAUUAAGUGCUCCGCCUGGGGAGUACGUGCGCAAGCAUGAAACUCAAAGGAAUUGACGGGGACUCGCACAAGCAGCGGAGCAUGUGGUUUAAUUCGAAGCAACGCGAAGAACCUUACCAGGGCUUGACAUCCCUCUGACCGGUCGGUAACGCGACCUUCUCUUCGGAGCAGAGGUGACAGGUGGUGCAUGGUUGUCGUCAGCUCGUGUCGUGAGAUGUUGGGUUAAGUCCCGCAACGAGCGCAACCCUUGUCAUUAGUUGCCAUCAGGUAGAGCUGGGCACUCUAAUGAGACCGCCGGGGAUAACUCGGAGGAAGGUGGGGAUGACGUCAAAUCAUCAUGCCCCUUAUGUUCUGGGCUACACACGUGCUACAAUGGCCGGUACAAAGAGCAGCGACCACGCGAGUGCGAGCGAAACUUAAAAACCGGUCUCAGUUCGGAUUGGAGUCUGCAACUCGACUCCAUGAAGCUGGAAUCGCUAGUAAUCGUGGGUCAGCAUACCACGGUGAAUACGUUCCCGGGCCUUGUACACACCGCCCGUCA
rnacentral:rRNA from 1 species